rnacentral:rRNA from 1 species
GAUGAACGCUGGCGGCGUGCCUAAUACAUGCAAGUCGAGCGAACAGAUGAGGAGCUUGCUCCUCUGACGUUAGCGGCGGACGUGUGAGUAACACGUGGAUAACCUACCUAUAAGACUGGGAUAACUUCGUGAAACCGGAGCUAAUACCGUAUAAUAUAUUGAACCGCAUGGUUCAAUAGUGAAAGACGGUUUUGCUGUCACUUAUAGAUGUAUCCGCGCCGCAUUAGCUAGUUGGUAAGGUAACGGCUUACCAAGGCAACGAUGCGUAGCCGACCUGGGAGCGGGAAUCGGCACCGUGGGACUGAGCAACCGUACCGAGUCCUACGGGCGGCCGGAAGACGGAAUGUUUCCAACAGGGGGGAAGACUGAACGAGGCACGCCGGCGGGAUGCAGCAAGGCCGCGGGCUGGAAAACGGCCUUCUUAGGGUAAACCAAAUUUGGAAGGAACUAAGCAAGUUUUGACGGUACCUACAGAAGAAGCCCCGGCUAACUACGUG